rnacentral:rRNA from 1 species
CAGCAGCCGCGGUAAUACGAAGGGGGCUAGCGUUGUUCGGAUUUACUGGGCGUAAAGGGCGCGUAGGCGGACUGAUAAGUCAGGGGUGAAAUCCCAAGGCUCAACCUUGGAACUGCCUUUGAUACUGUGGAUCUUGAGUCCGGGAGAGGUGAGUGGAACUGCGAGUGUAGAGGUGAAAUUCGUAGAUAUUCGCAAGAACACCAGUGGCGAAGGCGGCUCACUGGCCCGGAACUGACGCUGAGGCGAGAAAGCGUGGGAAGCAAACAGGAUUAGAUACCCCAGUAGUCCCUGUCUCUUAUAA